UACGUAGGGUGCGAGCGUUGUUCGGAAUCAUUGGGCGUAAAGCGCUCGCAGGUGGUUCGUUGCGUCGUGCGUGAAAGACCCCGGCUCAACUGGGGAGUGUCGUGCGAUACGGGCGAACUGGAGGCCAGUAGGGGGAUGCGGAAUUCCGGGUGUAGUGGUGGAAUGCGUAGAGAUCCGGAGGAACACCAGCGGCGAAGGCGGCAUCCUGGACUGGUCCUGACACUCAGGAGCGAAAGCGUGGGGAGCGAUCCGG
rnacentral:rRNA from 1 species